rnacentral:rRNA from 1 species
GACAGAGGUGCCGAGCGUUAGGCGGAAUCACUGGGCUUAAAGCGUGUGUAGGCGGACUUCUAAGUACCUUGUGAAAUCCCACGGCUCAACCGUGGAACUGCUUGGUAUACUGGUCGUCUUGAGCCACCUAGGGGCAACCGGAACAAACGGUGGAGCGGUGAAAUGCGUAGAUAUCGUCAAGAACACCGAUAGUGAAGACAGCUUACCAAGCUUCAACUGACGCUGAGGCACGAAAGUGUGGGGAUCAAACAGG